CUGAAUAUCACAACCUUUGACCGCAUUCCUCAUAUGAUGGUUGAUUCUUCUGCUGAAAUUGAUAUACUGGCAAUCGUUCUUCGUUGUGGUCCUCAAAAACACGCAAGUCGCAGUCAUCAUAAGCGUCGAGAAAUUACCCUCUGUGACAAUCAG